CUGGCUCAUCCGCCACAGAGACCUAUUUAUUACAUCCCCUGAGUAUUCUUCUAAUUCCCCCUCCUUUCCAUCCCCACUCUUUCAGCCACACUUCAGGACCAUGGUCUGUGCAUCGCUUAGUCUCAUCCUAAUUUAUCCGCAGCUCCACCCACUCCAACCUCCUCUCCCCUCUCUAAGACAACCUUUACUUCCCCACCUAUGCCUGUUCCAAUUUACUGUCUCUGAACCCCACAUAUGCCCUUUUCUGCCCUACAUUAUGAUAACUGGAGCUGGACCUAAUUUCUUUCGUUAGCGGGCACAAUGUUAGACCUUGUCAGUAGAGGGCGCUAGAGGGACACUGCACAAGGAAGGGGCUUCUCUUCUGGUUCCAGCUCUGUUCUUAGAAAACAAUGAGCUGUCUCCUUGCCAACCAGCAGCUCCCUUGGUAGGGGCAUGCAGAAGACCUGAUGACACAAACCCUCCAAAGAGUUUCACCCUCACCACAACAGGUGGCUUCCUGCUCGGCAGCCCAUCCUGCAUCACUUCAGUGGACUUCUCUGACAUCUACUAGACCACAUUAAAUGAAUCACAGCCUUGAAACUGAACUGGAAGGACUUCCUUCAAGAUUUUUAUCUAAUUCCUGUUGGACAGUGUAAAAUGCCACUUCUUCCAGGGUUGCCUGCAUAUCAUCAAAAGGGAAAUAGUACUCAUCGAAGAUGUGCCUUUGCUAGGAACUAGGACAAGGGUGGCCUUUAUAAAUUCAUGAAGAGAAGGAGCCAGCAUAUGAACUUGCUGCCUAUCUUUAGCAAGGAGAUGCAAAUGACAUCCACAAACCUCUUCUGCUGUAUACCUGGAUGAAAGCAAGGCUAGCUGUGUGUCCUAUGGCACCAAGGACUGAAAGAUUGUAAGAAGUAAGAUGACCUACAUCCAAAGUGAAAAGUUAUUCAGCCUCUGAAGAGAAGCAUUUUGUUUGGGGAUCUUCAAGUAUGCUUGUCAGCACCGAGAACUGGAAAAAAAUCUCUGAUUGUCCUGCAGCAAUGGCAUUAAAGGCUCCUCAUAACAUACAGAACCAGAAUUGUGCCAUAAUUUACUGAAAUUGAACAUUGCUCUGUGACUGCUAAUUUUCCAUCGAGAUGAUUCUGUCUCUAACCAAGAAAAGAAAAGUUUGUCUUCCUGACUGCUGACACUGCUGACCAAGCCCACCACCAGAUGCCUGGCUGCACACCCAGAGGGCAGCCGCUUCCCGUGGUCCUCUCGAAGAACUUCCCUUUUGCAAUGCAUGUUUAGCAAGUGGAUGAGUUUGUCUUUUCUGAUUUCUCUGCAAGCUCUGCAUUGCCCACCUGAACCAGUGCUUCAGAAGAACUAAUGGGAUCUCUGACCCUCCAACAUCCUCUUCCAGACUUUCACUUUCCUGGCUCCUUGCAGGGACAUGUAAUAAACGUGCUCUCCAGAGA
rnacentral:lncRNA from 1 species